UCACAAUUAAUAUUAUGCGUGAAAAAUAAGACGAAAAACUAUGGCUAAAUUUACUAACCUUUGUUAACACACCUAUGGGUUAAAAGGAUAGUUUCUACGGGGCGUAAGCCUCCCAAAAGGUAAUGGAGGUGUGUAAAGGUUUUCUCGAGUCAGAUGAAGAUUGGCCCUCGAGUGCAAAGUCAGAAAGAAGUUUAAUUGUAAGACCCAUCUAUCUAGUAAGGACGAAAGUCAGCUUUAGUGAUUUGAUUGUGCCGAGUGGAAGGGUCGUCGCUCAAUAGAUUAAAGUUACUCUAGAGAUAAUAGGCUACUCUUCCCUAAGAGCUCACAUCAAUGGAAAGGUUUGGCACAUCGAUUUCGACUCUUCGUCACUUGGGGCUAUAGUAUAUUCCAAGGGUUGGGUUGUUCACCUAUUAAAGUGAUAUGUGAGUUGGGUUCAGAACAUCCUGAGACAGUUUGUUCCAUUUCUGGUGUGAGCGUUAAAGCAUUGAGAGGACCUUUCCCUAGUACGAAAAGAUUGAGAAGAACGCACCUUUCGUGUACCAGUUAUCAUGUCUACGAUAAACGCUAGGUAGCCAAGUUCGAAAUGUCAUCCAAACAUUGAAGCUAAAUUAGGAAAAUAACGGAAGUGCGCCUCAAGAUAGGAAAGACUAAGUUUCAAGACUUGAACCCCAAAGUCAC
rnacentral:ncRNA from 1 species